GGGGGUUUAGGUUAUAUGUAAACUUGUUGUCUUCAAAACAAUAGAAGCACUGAUGCAACCUCAG
rnacentral:tRNA from 1 species